rnacentral:lncRNA from 1 species
UCAGAUCUAGUUAAAAACAAGGAGUACAAACGUUCGAGCAUCACAGGAGUAAGUAUUUGACAAAAAAAUUCAAAAAAAUUUUGGAAAAAAAUUUAAAAAAAUCGUGAACAAAAAAAAAGUAUACAUUUAGCAUAUUUGUAGUAAAAAAAUUGAAAGUAAAAAAAAAAGAGAAAGAAGUUGCUUGAAAGUGUUCAUAGUUUUUUUUUUCCGAUCUAAAGUGCUUUUCGACCAAUAACAAACCCAUCGCCACACUUAGCACCAC